rnacentral:rRNA from 1 species
UACGUAGGGCGCGAGCGUUGUCCGGAUUUAUUGGGCGUAAAGAGCGUGUAGGCGGCCGUACAGGUCAGCUGUGAAAACUCGAGGCUCAACCUCGAGACGUCGGUUGAAACCGUACGGCUAGAGUCCGGAAGAGGAGAGUGGAAUUCCCGGUGUAGCGGUGAAAUGCGCAGAUAUCGGGAAGAACACCCGUGGCGAAGGCGGCGCGCUGGACCACUACUGACGCUGAGUGAACGAAAGCUAGGGGAGCAAACAGG